GAUGAACGCUGGCGGCGUGCCUAAUACAUGCAAGUCGAGCGAACAGAUGAGGAGCUUGCUCCUCUGACGUUAGCGGCGGACGGGUGAGUAACACGUGGAUAACCUACCUAUAAGACUGGGAUAACUUCGGGAAACCGGAGCUAAUACCGGAUAAUAUAUUGAACCGCAUGGUUCAAUAGUGAAAGACGGUUUUGCUGUCACUUAUAGAUGGAUCCGCGCCGCAUUAGCUAGUUGGUAAGGUAACGGCUUACCAAGGCAACGAUGCGUAGCCGACCUGAGAGGGUGACCGGCCACACUGGAACUGAGCCCCGGUCCAGACUCCUACGGGAGGCAGCAGUGGGGAAUCUUCCGCAAUGGGCGAAAGCCUGACGCAGCCACGCCGCGUGUGUGAUGAAGGUCUUCGGAUCUUAAACCCCUUUUAGGGGGGAAGAACAGAUUUAAAUUAAUCUCUGCGCUUCUUGACGGUACCUAAACAAAAACCCCCGGCUAACUACGUG
rnacentral:rRNA from 1 species